rfam:Delta proteobacterium ML8_D scaffold_44, whole genome shotgun sequence.
UGACGCCACUGUCCCUUAAGGAUGGGAAGGCGCGGCAAGUAGAAUGAUACGGAAGCCGGAAGACCUGCUUAUCAAUAAAAUAAAUA